UACGGAGGGUGCGAGCGUUAAUCGGAAUCACUGGGCGUAAAGGGCACGCAGGCGGUGACUUAAGUGAGGUGUGAAAGCCCCGGGCUUAACCUGGGAAUUGCAUUUCAUACUGGGUCGCUAGAGUACUUUAGGGAGGGGUAGAAUUCCACGUGUAGCGGUGAAAUGCGUAGAGAUGUGGAGGAAUACCGAAGGCGAAGGCAGCCCCUUGGGAAUGUACUGACGCUCAUGUGCGAAAGCGUGGGGAGCAAACAGG
rnacentral:rRNA from 1 species